CUCUGAAGGGUGAGCUGAGUCAAGAAUCAGCUUUCUAGACCAAAGGGAUAUAAUGACAAAAGAAGAAGGACAAAGGAGGUAGAUCACAGGUGGCCGGAAGGGAGGCCCGGAGAGCAGUUCCUGGGCUACCAUUGUGUUUUAGGUGAGAGAUGGUGGUGGAGCAGCACAGAUCCAGAGAGGUUAAUGUUGCCAAGUGGUUUUUGGAAGUACAGUCAAAAGGAUCUGGUGAGGAGCAUUAAACCUGAGGAGUGCAGGAAAGAGAG
rnacentral:lncRNA from 1 species